rnacentral:rRNA from 1 species
UACGAGGGGGGGCAAGUGUUGUUCGGAAUCACUGGGCGUAAAGGGAGCGUAGGCGGAUGUUUAAGUCGGGAGUUUAAAACCGGGGCCCAACCCCGGAGCGGCUCCCGAAACUGGGCAUCUUGAAUAGGUCAGAGGCUGGUGGAAUUGGAGGUGUAGCGGUGGAAUGCGUAGAGAUCUCCAAGAACACCUAUUGCGAAGGCAGCCAGCUGGGACCAUAUUGACGCUGAGGCUCGAAAGCAUGGGGAGCAAACAGG